AAUAAGCAUUUGUUUACACCACUCUCCACAGGAUUACUGUGAAGUUAGCAGAGAUCAAUAGCAAACAUAGAGAGAAGGAAAUGGACACAUUCUUUGCCAAGAUGGAGCAAGAAUUUGACAAAAAUAUAACUAGAGCACAAAAAGAAGAUGCUGCUAAAUUUGAAUUUGAAUCCUCUAUAGCUGCUCCUCUAGGAUCUAUGGAUGGGUUAACUCCAACUCAAGCUCUACUUUUGAAGACGUCACAGGAAUAUGCACAGAUUUUGAGGAAAAACUAUAUGAUCUGAAAGAAAUGUAAAAUGUACUUGUCUCAUGGAGGGGAAAAAGAUGGCUGACAGUGAGAGAACUGAGGCAGAAACCACCUCCCAAAACCACAUGUAAUGAAAAUACAGCAAAUACCAGUAACCCUAAAAGAGUGACCCAAAAGACAGCAACACACUGCCUACCUCUGCAGAAAAGAAAAGACCUUAAAAAAAAGGGUAAAGUAGCAAACUCAGCCCAGCAGGUUAGGAACAUUCAGGACCAUCAGAUGCUCCAUCCCCCUGGCUGGCAGUGCAGUGCUAAGGCCCCCCUCACUGUGAUAUGCAGCCUGCCACUCAUUCCUCCCAGCGGGCAUGACUCCACACAGCUGAUGCCACCACCAUUGCACCAGGUCACGUGGCAGGCAGCUCCACCUAGGGUACCUACAGGGGCAUAACACAGAGCUUCCUACCUCCAUUCUCAGCCUACUGGACCUAGCAGUGGAUGCAGAUACUGCAGCCAGGUAGCAUUUUCAUGCUACCAAAAGAGCUUUUCCUCCUGGCAGGCACUAGCACUGCAUACCUGUGACCCCACCAUCGUUCCAGGUGCUGGAUAGCUCCAGAGAGUAGAGCUGGGCUCUAGAGGGUACCACCUACACAAAGGUAUUGUUCCAUAGUCAUCAUCAGAAUUAUGAAACAGCAAAAGAAUUUUGUACAAACCAGGAUACCUCAAACCACCAGAAAGAGGGCUCAGUGAAACUGAAGUCACCAAUGUUCUUGAUAAAGGUUUCAAAAUAAAAAUCAUAAACAUGCUCACAGAGCUACUGA